rnacentral:tRNA from 1 species
AUUUAAGUAGUUUAUUGAACAUUGUACUGAAGAUGCAAAAGAGAAUUUUUGAUUUCUUAAAUA